GCGUUGAUGGUGUAGCGGUAGCACACGACUCUUCCAAAGUUGAGAUCCGGGUUCGACUCCCGGUCGACGCA
rnacentral:tRNA from 17 species